GACGAACGCUGGCGGCGUGCUUAACACAUGCAAGUCGAACGGAAAGGCCCUGCUUUUGUGGGGUGCUCGAGUGGCGAACGGGUGAGUAACACGGGAGUAACCUGCCCUUGACUUUGUGAUAACUUCAGGAAACUGGGGCUAAUACCGGAUAGGAGCUCCUGCUGCAUGGUGGGGGUUGGAAAGUUUCGGCGGUUGGGGAUUGACUCGCGGCUUAUCAGCUUGUUGGUGGGGUAGUGGCUUACCAAGGCUUUGAUGGGUAGCCGGCCUGAGAGGGUGACCGGCCGCAUUGGGACUGAGGUGCGGCCCAGACUGCUACGGGAGGCAGCAGUGGGGAAUAUUGCACAAUGGGCGGAAGCCUGAUGCAGCAACGCCGCGUGCGGGAUGACGGCCUUCGGGUUGUAAACCGCUUUCGCCUGUGACGAAGCGUGAGUGACGGUAAUGGGUAAAGAAGCACCGGCUAACUACGGU
rnacentral:rRNA from 1 species